rnacentral:rRNA from 1 species
AUUGAACGCUGGCGGCACGCCUAACACAUGCAAGUCGAGCGGUAACAGGAUGUGUAGCAAUACACAUUGCUGACGAGCGGCGGACGGGUGAGGAACACGUAGGAACUUACCCUCAAGCGGGGGAUAACUAAUGGAAACGUUAGCUAAUACCGCAUAAUCUCGAAAUAGAAAAGCUACCCGCAAGGGCGGAUCUUGAGGAGAGGCCGGCCUCCGAUUAGCGAGUUGGUGAGGUAAUGGCUCACCAGGGAAAUGAUCGGUAACAGGUCUGAGAGGACGACGAGUCAUACUGGGACUGAGACACGGCCCAGACUCCUACGGGAGGCAGCAGUGGGGAAUAUUGGACAAUGGGGGCAACCCUGAUCCAGCGAUGCCGCGUGAGUGAAGAAGGCCUUCGGGUCGUAAAGCUCUUUAGGUUGGGAAGAAGUGUAUUAGGUUCAUAGCCUAGUAUGUUGACGGUACCGACAGAAUAAGCACCGGCAAACUCUGUGCCAGCAGCCGCCGCGGUA